rnacentral:rRNA from 1 species
GAUGAACGCUGGCGGCGUGCCUAAUACAUGCAAGUCGAGCGAACAGAUGAGGAGCUUGCUUCUCUGAUGUUAGCGGCGGACGGGUGAGUAACACGUGGGUAACCUACCUAUAAGACUUGGGAUAACUCCGGGAAACCGGGGCUAAUACCGGAUAAUAUUUUGAACCGCAUGGUUCAAUAGUGAAAGACGGUUUCGGCUGUCACUUAUAGAUGGACCCGCGCCGUAUUAGCUAGUUGGUAAGGUAACGGCUUACCAAGGCGACGAUACGUAGCCGGCCUGAGGGGGUGAUCGGCCAGACUGGAACUGAGACACGGUCCAGACUCCUACGGGGGGCAGCAGGAGGGAAUCUUCCGCAAUGGGCGAAAGCCUGACGGAGCAACGCCGCGUGAGUGAUGAAGGUCUUCGGAUCGUAAAACUCUGUUGUUAGGGAAGAACAAAUUUGUUAGUAACUGAACAAGUCUUGACGGUACCUAACCAGAAAGCCACGGCUAACUACGUGCCAGCCGCCGCCGUAA